UAGAAUGCAAGAAAGAACAACGGUGAAGUGAGGAAGACAUAGAUAUUCUCAAAAUGUUUUGGGUAAUAUUGUUAGGAAGCUUAAAAUUGUUCUUGAUUUAUAUCAACUUUUCAAAAUUACUUAUAUCCACUUUUAUGCAUCAUUAAUGGCUAAACUAUAGGUGUUUAGUUUUGCUUUCACACCAAAGCAAACCACCAUGGCUUAUUCCACCUUGUUACUUUCACAUGUAUCGAAUUCUUGAUCUAAGAAUAAGGUUUUAUGCUUUCUUAUGGCUAAUGGAUAAUGCUAGGACUAUCCUAUUAAACAAUUGAAAUUUAUGAUAUUUUUGUUCACCAUUUUGAAGCUUAUAUAGCUGCUACGAGGCUGACACUUGAUGCCUCAUUUUACCUAAAAUUUUCGAGUCAGUUCCAUAAGAUUUGAAGAAUUUCGGAAUCAAGUAUAUGACAACAAUGAGUUUGGACAGAUUUAUCCAAUGUUUUGCAAUGCCAUGGGGGGCACCGCAACAUCAUUUUACACAACAAAAGGCAAUAACCACAUAAAGCCCCAUACUGCUAGAACCGAACUAUAUCCUAAGGUUUAUAUACUGACACACUGAGUGUUAUGGUCACGACCUUACUUGAACAGGAUCUGUUCUAUAGGCUCGUACAACUGUAUCCUUGAGUUCUAAGGAGACAGGAACCAAAGUCUGGUUGAUGAACCAUGACCGUGUGAUCAGAGCGUGAUUAACAGUUCACUGGCUAACCUUCGGGUUCACCAAAUUAGCGGUAGAGGAUCGUUCUCAGCUAGUUUCACUGGCUGGGGGGGGGGCACGGGUUGUUUGGCGAACCCCAAACUUUUUUAUUUUUUUGAAAAAGUUGAGUGUUUGAUUGAGAUAAGACACAAGUUUUGUUCUUCUAAAUAAAUAAAAAACAAUAGCAAAAGACAAACUAGAAGUAAAUCUAUUUCCUACUUAAAGAAGAAAAAACUAACACAGCAAAGGAUAUUACAGAAGUAAAAUUUUGAUUUGAGUCAAAGUUGUGUGGUGCUAUAUUACCUUCUUCCCUCUGGACCAUAAGCAACGAUUUUGUUCACUUGCAUGCCUCAUUGGAGAUUGUUGUGUUCUUCUUAGUGAAAAUGUGGCUCAAAAUCACCCUCCUUGAGAAUUGCUUUGAGUUAAACCCUUUGCCACAAACUUAAAAGGGAGACCAUGUCACAAGAGAAAAACAAAAAACACAGGAAGAUUGCACACAUGGAGAAACAAGCGGUUCAAGAUAUCAGUUGUCCGUUGAUACAUUGAGUAAAGAAAAAGUUUGGUAGAUAAGAUAGCUAUAUGAGGUAGGAAAAUCGAAGCAUUAAAUUACUGAUGGUUAGAGCCGUCGGUACCUGAAGGUUUAUAUAGCUUACUAAUGGCUCCAGGAACGACUAAAAUUGUUGAUAACCUAUUUAUAUGAGUGUUGUCCAUCACUUUCACUCACAACUCCUCCUCUCUUGUCUUCCCUCAUUUUCUUCAUUUUUUUUAUGUUCCAUUGUUUUUUAUUAGUGUUAGUAUUUUUUUAAUAUUCUUUGUAUUUUAUUCUGUAGUCUUUUUAACUCUUGUGAGAUACUUACAAAGCUUCAUUGCGGUCAGUAGAGUUUUCUUUUAAUAUUUAGAUAAUUACUUGAUUGAUAACUUCAAUUAUUUUGUGAUACUCGAAACCACACGUAUCAUAUGGAACUUUGAUACAUGAGGUCUAUAAUAUUGUCCUAUAAAGCGCAAACAAAUAAAAUUAAAUAUUUUCUUUAACCAAUAAUGCACUUUCAUCCCUGGUAAAUAAGUUUUCUUCCGUCCCAUAAUAUAAUUUACCACUGGCUUUUACAGACGGCCUAAACCUUCCGUACCUAAACCCUUAGUUCCUAUAAACCCUCGAUAACAUACCAAUGGUUAAAUUGUUAGUAAAUAUUACCGACAAGUGUUUUAACGACAGAUGUUUAACUGUCAGAAGGUCAUCGGUAAUUUCUAAUUACCGACAGUUUUACAAAGUUACCGACAACUUUCAGCCGUCAAUAAUUCUCGUUUUUCUUGUAGUGACAGCCUAAAAUGUGAUCUUAUGUUGUUUUAAUAAUAAGUUUGCCAUUCGCUUGCAAACCAUCAAAUUGUGAACAAAUUGUGUCUGUCAAUUGGGUUUGAAACAUCAUCUGUUUCAAUGGGAUUAUCACAAUAGCAUUUACUUAGCAUGCCAAAACUGUCAGAAAGUGUGGAAAUGUCUCGCUUUGGUCCCUUUCUGAACUUGUCAUUGGAAGAAAUGGCUGGAAAGAUCAAGGAUCGAUGACCUGCAAAAUCAUUGAUUCACCACACAUGUAAAUAAUCUUAGCCAUUUCACUAUUUCAGUCAAGAAUCAAAAGCAUUGGAAAAUCAAUAACUUGAGGGUAUGGAUUAGUGAGAUACAAAAUUUCAAAAGAUCAAAAUUUUCACAAUACAGAAAGAGGUAUCAUACAAUUUACUAUAAUAGUUAUUCAACCCAGGCAAAAAAGAGAAAAGGAGGUACAAAAUGGUUUUACAGAGAACUACAAACAUUAGAUUAGGAUGUAAACUGCGAACUUUUUAGCAUAACAAGCAAUGCUUGAGAUAAACAACAUGGUAACCAAUCUAAUGGCACUUCUCCCAAACAAGUUUUGCAAGGAAUUUUGUGAAGAGCUUCAUGUUGAAUGUGCCCAAAAAAAUUACAAUUGCUACUCAGGAUCAAUAUGAUUGUACAUGAAUCAUAUUGAAUGUGCCAAAGAAUAUGCUCAAUAUCAGUAUGAUGCACUUCAUGUUGAUGUACAAAAAACCAUCGAGGUAAGAAAUAACUAUGUAUAUAACAAACAUAAUUGUGUACUUUAUGUUACUCUUUUACCCCAUUUUUGAAGCUUAUUGUUGCUAUGAGGCUGACACUUACUGCCUCAUUUCACCUAAAUUUUUCGAGUCAUUUCUAAAAGAUUUCAAGAACUUCUGAAUCAAAUAUAUGGAUACAAUGAAUUUGGACAGAUUCCUCCAACGUUUUGCAAAGCCAUGACCGGCACAGAACAACAUGUAACACAACAAAAGGCAAUAACCACAUAAUGUCCUGCAUUGCUAGCACCGAACAAAAUCCUAAGGUUUAUAUACAGAAACGCUUAAACUUCAGUUCACGACUGUAUCCUUGAGUUCUAAGGAGACCAGAACCUAAGUCAUGGUGUCUGAACAUGACUGUGUAAUCAGAGCGUGAUCAAUAGUCCAUGGAGACCAUGUCAAAUGUUGCAUAUUCCAUCUAGUCAUCAAUUAGCAGAUCUUCUCACCAAACCUCGAGCAAACGAAAAGCAUCCUACUAGAUCAAAGCAAAGCAACAGAAGCUAGAAAGAUAUUCAUAUUCUAAUGAAUCUUUUUAAAUCAGACCUAAAAUGUAGAAAAAAAAUGGUGUGGUAAGGAGAUACAAUAAAUUUAUCUUAAAAGAACUUAAAGCUUACUCAUGAAAAAUUCUCAGUGUCUCUAGCACUCAUGGAUCCUAUAUUUCUCAAGAGCAGAAAAUUAUCUGAGUCACUCAUCAUCCCUUUUGAAUUGCUCCACUUGAUAGAAUAUGGCCCCACCAUAUGAACAUCAAGAAGAUGGGACUUGAAUAAAAUCCCAUUGGCAGCAUCACCACCACCAUGUCACCGAAAGGAAAGUCCAGUUGUGCCUAGAUUUAGAAACAAUAGAACAAAACCUAUGGAAUAUGACAUUCCCUCCCGUCAAUAGUUGGAUGCUGGGAUACAAUCAUAAAGUUGAAAGGGUUUUUGUACUCAUAUACUGAUAUACCCUCUAUCCAAUGCUAAGAGUUGCAUGAUAGGGUAGAAAACAUGGGAUCAAUAACGCUUAUUUAACUCAAGUAUUCUGCUGUAGAGUGUUAGUAGGCCAAAGCAAACCAGACCGCAUCGCAUGCAAUAUCCUCAGUUUCAUAUUCUUUAAUGCAGACACCCACAAUUGACGAGUCUACAAGCACCUACAUCUAUCCAAACCUUGGGAUCUUGAUCAAGUGCUACCAAAAGAAGAUCCUUAACCUGAAAACAUUAUAGCGUCAACAGAUUGUCGGAAAGAAUAAUUCAAACAGGCUCGCAGAUGCCAUAUCAUGCACUUGCACUUGCUAUAAGAUUAUAUCAUGUAUUUCUGUUUCUCAGUGCAUCACCUUUCAAGUCCCACAUUGGCUGUGCAGCACAAUCAAAGCACAUAUACUGGAUAUAAAAGCAGAUACAUGGCAGAGGAAGAAGCAUACCUUUCUCGGCCUUUUUGCUAAGAUCAAGUGUAGUAUCUGUUCUUAUCAGUUUAAUAUCUGAUUUGUGAGCCAAUGGCUCACACGAUAUUAAAUUUAUAUUUUUAGGUGGAGGGUCCACCACAGUAGCUUGCUAUUGGGAUCCUCAAGCGUCGCCCAUGCCUUACACUAUUGCAAGGGCCUGGCGCACCCCACCCAAACCUAGUUCAAGAUUUUCAAUUCUGAUAAAUCAACACUGUUGUUCUAGCACAAGUAAACCGCAAUUAUUAAAAGUUUCAAUUAUUAAACCAAUCCUCAGGAAAUAUGUGAAAAUAACUUAGGAAAAUGAAUAAGUUAGUCUUUAUAGUAAAGUACACUCAAAUUUUCAUGUAUAGCCGCGUUGAAUGCCUACUGCAGCAUAAUAUACUUGUCUUCCCCCAACCUCACACAAGAAUCAUCUCCAUCAAUUUCUAUCUUAUGUCCUCUUGUAGCCCCUUUCACUAAGCUACAGCCUGUCAUCAGAUACUGGAAUGCCAUAUAGAUAAUGAGAUUGGCCUCUUUUCUGUUAGAUCAGCCUAAGAUUUUACACUAAAUCCUUGAUUACAAUGGAUGUGAGGAAACCAUCAAAGUAUUUAGGUAGCAUACAACCUCUCAUAUCACAUCCCCUGCUGUCAUUAUAAUGACUUGAUCACUCCCCUAAAUUGAACAGCUAACUAACAGAACAAUUAACUCCAAAGAUCCAUUCUCUCUCUCUCUCUAAAUACCUCUGCCCACUUGUGAGAUCUUACCCAAAUGCUAAGAUAAUAAACUGAGCACAAAAAUUUAUAGAAAAACAAAUGACACAGGAAUAACUGGAAAUUUCUUAGAAUUAUUGGAGAAGAAAGAAAAAAAAUGUCAACUUUGAAUGAGAAAAACAAAACUACUAAGCUUCUCUCUAUCGUUCCAAGUUUAUGGACUAAGGAGCAAGCUCAACUGGUGUGGGACAUGAGAUGAAGUGAGACAUCACAUGCAAAGCUAAAGCAACACAAAGAGACCAGCUUCCUCCCUCAAGGCAAAGCAACAGAAGUUAUGAAGAUAUUAAUAUUCUGAUGAUUCAUUUUAAAUCAAUUUUAGAUCUUAAAAAAUGUGUGGUAUAGGGAGUAAGUAAUUUAUGUUAAGAGAAAUUACAACUUACUCAUGAACAACUCAGGCUAUGCCUUGGACAUGGAGAAGGAGUUAAAGUAAUACUCAUCUGGUUUGUAUCCUAAUUCAGAACAUGACAGUAUUCAAUGUUACAUUGUCUCUGUAGCACAUGUCAACCCAGAUGAAUUGCUCCAAAUACAUCAUGACUAGAAAACACAUGCUGCCCCUUAACUUAAGACUGAUAAAUCAAUCAUGAAUAAAGCAGUGUGAUUAAAGAAAAUUCAGAAAACAUAUAAGACAAACUCAACAUAGGGACAGUGUCAAUAUUUUCAUAGCAAAAUAAAUUUAUUUAGAAAAAAGGAAGAAAAGCACAUCUGUUGAAAAAAUAUGAUGCAACAGAAAAAGCUAAGCAAAUAAGAUUAUAAGAGAGCCAAAACAAAAAUAAAAAUUUAUUUGCCUACAUUUGCGCCUUCAACUUGGGAUUUGAUAGAGUGCUCUUUGUUUCCAAGCAACUCAGCAGUGAAAGGCGCACCCAAAUAAAUUUCUUUUCUAGUUCUUUUGCAGCAUGAGUUUGCAUAUAUGUAGCCAAUGGUAUUUAACAAACCAAACCCAAAAGUACUAUAAUGACAACUAGUUUACUCAGCAAAAGUACCUCAUGUUGAUAUUCUUCAAUAAAGCAAUUUAAACACUUGAUAUAUCAUUUUUCCAUGUCAUCCAAAGUCAACAUGCAUUUCAACCAUAUCAAAGUUUCCUGAAUCCUAUAGGUUGAUAUUUAUGAUGAAAAAUAGCAUCCAAAUGACAACUUGUAAUUUUGUGUGCUGAGCUUAUGAUCAUGUAAUUUAUCAAUAAAAAACUGUAUUCACCCCUCAUGAACCCUAGGAAAAAACAUGAUACAAAAAGAACUGGAAAAUGCUUAGAACUUAUCCAGGAAAAAUGAGAAAUUUCAAAGAGAAAAGAAAACUUACACUCUUCUGCAGCUUCAGUUUAAAUAAAAUGGAGUAAAAAUAUCCAAGUUUCAUGAGAGAAUCAAAAUCAAAUAAAAUCAAAUUUUGAUCCAGGGGAAGAAGAAUGGAUUGACAAAAAAAUUUGGACCAUUUCUCGAUUUGUGCGUGUCAUCCUUGCGCAGGGGCCAUGCUAAUCUUCUCUGUAUCGUUCCAAUUUUAUCGGAUGUCCCCGAAGGGACAAUCUCUACUGCUAGGUGGUUCAUUAUAAACACUUGUAUUGUUGCAAGUUUAACCGAUGUGGGACUUGAGACAGCCUGCGAUGCUCAAAAAAGACCGAAAUAACACAAGUCUGCUCAGCCUCAAUAGACAGCAUGCGAGCAUGCAUCCAAGCUCUUUCGUGUUUUGUGGGAAUGCUAGAAAGAACAACGGUGAAGUGAGGAAGACAUAGAUAUUCUCAAAAUGUUUUGGUUUGCUUUAUCAAAAUUAUAGUUUUAGGACCAAAGAAUACGUGGAGCCUUGGAAAACAGCAACGUUUCAACUUUUCCUUGGUGAAUGAUCAACAUCGAUCUCCCACUCCCCCAAAGGACAGAGCUGGGAGAGUCUCUAGCCUCUUUGAUUACACAAUACUAUAUAAAUCUAUCUACUGCCUCUAAUUUCCCAACCUUCUAAUUGGCCCUCAUCCUACUAUUAAGAACUCUACUUUUUGAGUUGGGCUUUUUCUGCAAUGCUUUUAGUCCUAUUGUUGUGAGCUUUUCUUUUUGUAACCCGCACCUCAUUAUUCGGUGGAGUAGUUCAAUCCAGUUCAAAACUUUUACCUUUUUGAGUCAUUUAUAUAAGAUUUCAAGAACUUCGGAAUCAAAUACAUGGCAACAUUGAAUUUGGAUGAAUUUCUCCAACGUUUUGCAAUGCCAUGAAGGGCAUAGUGACAUCAUGUUACACAACAAAAGUCACAACAACCAGAUUAUCACAUGAAAGUCCCACACUGCUAGCACCGAACUAUAUCCUAAGGUUUAUAUAUUGACACGGUGAUAUAAN
rnacentral:lncRNA from 1 species